rnacentral:misc_RNA from 1 species
GCCACACAAAGGCAGGCGGACUUGGACCCUGCCGAACUGGAUGAUAUAAUCAUCAGGCUAAAGGAGGUCCGAUCAGCUAGGCCAGGCAAGCUGGUGGAGCUCUCGGAGACUCAGAUAAGAAAGCUGUGUCGAGCUUCUAGGGAUAUCUUUCUUCGACAGCCUAAUUUGCUUGAGCUCGAAGCUCCCGUCAAGAUUUGCGGGGACAUUCAUG